AGAGGUUGUGCACCGGAUCUGACAGGAGGCGAGAGCCAGAGAGCGCGCUCGGAGAUCCCCUCUACGUAUGUGGCCGGGGCGGACAAAAUGGAGGUGGCAUUAAAGAGUCCUUCCACAACGGGGGCUCUGGAGAUGCUCUGCUUUUCUCUCCGUGAUGGGGAAAAGGAGCAGAGCACGGUAAGCGGGCCUCCCAGUCGACUCCCACUUAGGAACCUCAGGUACGUUGUCGACAAGGGAGAUGGACAGACAAAAUGGAUUUACAAUCGGUGGCAGCAGAAUGAAGGACAAGACUGGCGCAUGAAUGCCGGGAGGAAAUGCCAGAGAAAAUUACUGAUCAUUUUGUAAUUACCAGUAAUUCAUUUUAAUUAGUUAAAAUUAAUUUUAGACAAGUGCUGGUAAAGAGCUACAAAACUCUAUAAAAAAGAUUGGGGCUGGGUAUGAUGACACAGUCUUGACACUGAGGAGAGGAGAGGAGAAAACAACCUCCCUCCUAAUCUUUACUAGAAGCAGGACUCUCUAACAGGACUACUGGGCAGAUGCCAAAGACGGCAGCGACAGCAGAAUGUGGGGGAUCUUGAAUGUCUCUUGAAUCUCUUGAAAGCGACAAUACACACCACACAUGGUGGCUCUAUACAAGGCCAAGGACAAAGGCCCGGGGAGUGGAGACGCCGCACGGACCUCAGCCCCUCUCUGGAAUUCAGAAAGUCCCGGCUCUUUUGACAAAAGGGGAAAAUCCGGCUCAUUAAAUGAAAUGCUUAAGCUUUUCUACCACCAACCUUUGAGGGGUUAUUUAGCAGGUUGGUGCUGACACCCGGAAACCUCGGGCCCUCGGAAGUACGAUGCACAUUUUGGUGAGAUCCAUAUCUCCAGAAGACCGUGGUCUACCUGCAAAACGCGACCGACAGGGAGAUGGUUCCUACAUACCUGUUUGAUUAAAAAUGAAGGCUUUCAGAGUUUCGAGUGUCCGGUCGGUGUGAUUAAAUCUGGCCAUUGGUUUGGCUCCGUGAAAGAGUAGGAUGUUAGGUACGGCCACAGUACCAAACCUAGUAGACAAACUGUAAAGAGGAGUGGAUUGGAAAACAUGUUUAAAAAAUGGUGACUUGCACUUAAUAAAACACUUGCUUGACCACAAAUCUA